rnacentral:lncRNA from 1 species
AUGCAUUCUUUGGGUCACUGUGGAAAUGUGGAUGCAGCUCUAACAGAGAUGGCUGAAAUUAUAUCUAUCGUCAAAAGGCCAAGGCAGAUCUCUGUGUGGCAGUCUUUGAAGAUAUGGCUUCAGUUUGGCUAUUCCCUUUGGACUAUUUCACAAAUGGUAAAUAACAAAAAUGUUAAUUUCCUACUAUAACUCAAAUGCAUAUUUUGUUUCUUGAAAAUCUAGGAAACUCAAUGAAAUACUGGAAGUUUAUUUUUUUUCAAAAUAGAUAUAUGACACAGGGUAUACAUUUUAUAAGCCACAGGUACACCUUAGUGUCAUUAAGGUGAUACUUUCACAAAGUUUGUGUUGGCGGGGGUAGAUGAGACUAUGUUUAUAUGUAUAGGUUACUCUAGAAUUAAUUAUAGAUUCUUACCAUAAAGGAAAUACUUAUUUGGUCUGGACAGCAGCUAAAAAGGAGAAAACAAAAUGCUAGUACUGUAACUCUUUUAAAAUAUUUGUUGCAGCACAAUUUCAAAGGGCACUGUACUGUGUGGUACAGUUCUGAAAUGAUUCCAAACACAUAGCUUUCCACUUGAGUUAUUUAUGUUUUUCUGUGAUAAGAACUAUAACGAGAUCCUUGCAUGAUUUGAAACCUUAUGUUAUUAUUGUGAAACCCAACCAAAACAAAAUAGAAAGGAACAGAGCAGCUGAAUACAAAUAAUGCUUGAAAAAGCUGAGUAAAUACUCUAAUAGAUGGAUGACUGCUAUGGUUGGGAUGUGGUUUGUUCCCUAAGGAUUCCUGUGUUGCAAGCUUUGUCCCUACUGUGGUCAUGGUAAGAGGUGGUAGGAUCUUUUGGUGGAGGUCAUUGGAGGUUGCUGUCCUUGGAAGAAACUGAUGAGCUCUCGUGAGAGGGUUGUUAGAAAUGAGUAGGACUGGCCCCAUCCCAUCUGCUGGCUUCCUGUCUCACUAUGUGAGCGCUCCCUGUGGCAAGUGUUUCUGCCACAUCAUGCAAUCUACCAUGUUGUGGGGUAACCAAGGAGACCCUCACCAGAGGCCCAACACAUGAGACUGCCCAAACCUAGACUUUCAGCUUCCCCAACUGAACAAAACAUUCAUCUUUCUUUUAAACAUAAAUUACCUAACUUCAGGUCCCCCUUUUUUUAAGAAUAGAAAAUGUACUAACAAAAUUAUCUACUCUCAUGUUUUAAAAUAAAAUUUUUAAAACUUUUACUCUUCUGUAAGAG